rnacentral:lncRNA from 1 species
AUGGGGUUUCCCUACAUGGGUACAAACACAAACAGGACAGCCUGUUGUGAUGGCCAAGUGGUGAAGGCGUUGAACUGGAAAUGGGGUUUCCCUACAUGGGUUCAAGCCCUGCUCACGGAUGGACUUGUACUGUCAGUCCCUGUCCCCCUGGCCCAGGAGGGACAGACAGACACAGGGCAAUCACACUGCCUCGAUGGACCCUGUGCUCCCAUCCUGGCCCUGGCCCGGAUCCCCAGGAACUCUUCACCCUUAGGAGAUGGUCAGGAGGGUGCUCAGGGGAGCAGCCCAGCAGCACUUCUUACCGCAGGAAAAAAUCCUGCAAUAGCAUGUCCCCACCAUAAAGACAGGUCACCCUGCUCCCUGCAGCCCAUCCCCUGCUCCCUACAGCCCAUCCCCUGCUCCCUACAGCCCAUCCCCUGCUCCCUACAGCCCAUCCCCUGCUCCCUACAGCUAUUGCUCUGCACUGAUUGA